GGAAUCUUGGCCGAGUGGUUUAAGGCAGCGGUUUACUAAACCGCCGAGGGUUAAAAUCCUCCGGGGGUUCGAAUCCCUCAGAUUCCG
rnacentral:tRNA from 1 species